GACAGAGGGUGCAAACGUUGUUCGGAAUUACUGGGCGUAAGGCGUGCGCAGGCGGUUCGUUGUGUCGGUGGUGAAAUCCCCGGGCUUAACCUGGGAAUGGCCAUGGAAACUGGCGAACUGGAGUGCGGCAGAGGGGGGUGGAAUUCCGCGUGUAGCAGUGAAAUGCGUAGAGAUGCGGAGGAACACCGAUGGCGAAGGCAGCCCCCUGGGCUAGCACUGACGCUCAGGCACGAAAGCGUGGGGAGCAAACAGG
rnacentral:rRNA from 1 species